CCUACGGGAGGCAGCAGUGAGGAAUAUUGGUCAAUGGACGAGAGUCUGAACCAGCCAAGUAGCGUGAAGGAUGACUGCCCUAUGGGUUGUAAACUUCUUUUAUAUGGGAAUAAAAUGUUCCACGUGUGGGAUUUUGUAUGUACCAUAUGAAUAAGGAUCGGCCAACUCCGUGCCAGCAGCCGCGGUAAUACGGAGGAUCCGAGCGUUAUCCGGAUUUAUUGGGUUUAAAGGGAGCGUAGGUGGAUUGUUAAGUCAGUUGUGAAAGUUUGCGGCUCAACCGUAAAAUUGCAGUUGAAACUGGCAGUCUUGAGUACAGUAGAGGUGGGCGGAAUUCGUGGUGUAGCGGUGAAAUGCUUAGAUAUCACGAAGAACUCCGAUUGCGAAGGCAGUUCACUGGACUGCAACUGACACUGAGGCUCGAAAGUGUGGGUAUCAAACAGGAUUAGAUACCCGAGUAGUC
rnacentral:rRNA from 1 species